CCGGCACCCCGGGUUCUAGUUCUGGUCGGGGCGCUGGAUUCUGUCCCGGUUGCCCCUCUUCCAGGCCAGCUCUCUGCUGUGGCCCGGGAGUGCAGUGGAGGAUGGCCCAAGUGCUUGGGCCCUGCACCCUCAUGGGAGACCAGGAGGAAGCACCUGGCUCCUGGCUUCAGAUCAGCGCAAUGCACCGGCCACAGCGGUCAUUGGAGGGUGAACCAACGGUAAAGGAAGACCUUUCUCUCUGUCUCUCUCUCUCACUGUCCACUCUGCCUGUCCAAAAAAAAAAAAAAAAAAAGAUACAGAUGUUGGCCAUAAUGCCUAGUGUUAGGAAGAUUCUUCUUAAAAAUACUUAUUUAUUUUUAAGAUUUUUAUUUUAUUUACUCAAAAGACAGAGUUACAGAGAGAGGUUGAGCUAAAUAGAUAGAGAGAGAGAGAGAGAGAGAGAGAAGAGAGGUCUUCCAUCCACUGGUUCACUCACCCAACAGCUGCAAUGGCUGGAGCUGUACCGAUCUGAAGCCAGGAACCAGGAGCCAGGAGCUUCUUUCAGGUCUCCCAUGUGGGUGCAGGGGCCCAAAGACUUGGGCUCUCUUCUCUUUGUUUUCCCAGGCCAUAGCAGAGAGCUGGAUUGGAAGUGGAGCUGUCUGGGACGUUAACCUGCUGCACAAUAGUGCUGGCCCCAUUAAAAUUAAAUUCUAGUAGCAACAUUUCCACUUUAACCAAAACAAGCAAACAAACAAAAAACAGUCUUGUGAUGGGACAUCCCAAGAUACUGCUUGGGAUGUCCGUGUCCUGUAUUAGAGUGCUUAGACUCGAGUCUCAGUCCCUCUUCCAAUUCCAUUUGACUGCUAAUGUACACCCUGGGAAGCCACAGGUGACAGUCAAGUACUUUCCCUGCCACUUACUGCUCCUGGCUUUGGCCAGGCCCAGCCUUGGCUGUUGUGGACAUUUGGGAGUGAGCCAGCGAAUGGAAGAUCUCUCUUUGUUGCUGUAUCUCUUUCACAUAAAUAAAAACUGUAAAAGAAGUCUUCACCCUCCUCCUGUGGAUAUUCUCAGCAUCUGUGCUUCCAGGGUAAGAAUCCCUUAGAGCUAUAGCCACAGAACCUAGAGGACUGAUUUGGUGGGAUGGGCAUAAAAUAGACCAAGAGGCAGAGGAAGAGAAAUAGAUGAGAAGAAGGACGUGCUUUCUCUCUGCCUGUUGGGCUGUUUGCAGAAGGCAGGCAGAGAGUGCUAGAUGUGUUCAGAAAUGCCACAGUGUGCAUUCUUCCAGAAGGUGCACGCACAGCCACGCGAGCACCGUCUGUUGUCUUGAGGAAAACCUGGCAUGAUACUGGGCCUCACAGAUUCUUAGCUGGGGACCAGCCUCGCUGUUCUCUGAGUCUCACCACAGAGCACCUGCAAAAGAGAGAAAGGAUUCGUCAAAUACCUUAGAUACAAUUGCCAGGCAAUACUUAAAAAAAACUUUAUCAACUCUUCCCACCUGUUUACCUGACUACCUGACCAGUGUUUCUGGAAAGGACAGCAGUGAGUGGAAUGUCACAGAUGCAUGGAUGGCGUGACAUGGACAGGGCUGCAGGGACAGAAGAGGUCAGGAGAAGCCCUCUAAGAUCUUACUCUGGCUUGGUGCAUUGGCCAACUCCCCUUCUAUUUCCUCUUCCCGGGGAGCCUGUGGUCCCAGCCAUGCUCCUGAAGGUACCAAGGUCUCGUUGUCAAACACAGCACUCUCUAAGCCAUGCGCUUCAUCUCCAGGAGCCUGGCAACAAGGACAAUGCGGUGGCCGUUUCGUCCCACACUCCUGCACAGGUGACCGGAACUUCGGGAAGUUAUGUCUAUGACCCAGCAGUUCCACUCUAGGUCAACAGAACUGAAAACAGAUCUUCACACAGAGCCUUAUCAGCACAACCAGGAGCAUUUUCUAUUCCCAUGGAAUAGAGGCACAGACAAAAUGGGAAACCUUUGUCCUACCAGCGCUGGGAAGGAAGAGAAAACCCAAAGCCAGCAAAGGCUCUUCGGCUGGCUCACUGAGAUGGGACGUGGUGAAGGGGCAUGGUCUCAACCAGUGCACAGUGGUCAACACAGCUCAUAAAACAAUGGCUCUGGGUGUAGUGUUUAAGUGGUGACUAAAGCCCAGAACAGUCAAGUGGGUUGGAAACUCUUCAAAAAUUAUCUACAUCAGUAAACGUAGGCUGUUGCUCAGUCCAUGAGGAGUGCUUGUGGAAGUAGGCUGAAGGUACCCCCAGCCCGCCCAGCCAUCUGCAGACUCGUGGAAACACUGCCCUGAGUCAUCCCCAGCAGGUGGAAGAGAUGUAUGUGGGGCUAGAAGUGCAUGUUCCUUGGGCUGGGUAUUUGACGCAAAUGGUUAAGGUGCUGCUUGGGAUGCCCACACCCCAAAUUACUGCAUGCAGUGCCCUGGCCAAGUCCCAGCUCUGCUCUCAAAUCCAGCUUCCUGCUAAUGUGCAGUGACGGCUCAAGUACAUCGGUUCCUGCUCUUGUGUGCAUUUAGGGAGUGAAUCAGCAGAUAGAAGAUCUCCCCCCCCCCUUUCUCUUUCUCUCUCUCUGCAUUCCAAAUAAAUAAUGCAGAAAUAAGGAAAAGUUAAACCAAGAAUUUUGGUAUCUGUCUCUUUUUGGUGGGUCUAAGUGCUGUGGUGUAAGCAACAGACAGACCCUGAAUAUCCAGGUUGAAUGAGGUGAGAUUCACUGGUGCCUGUCAGGUGUCCACAGAUUGACAAGAAGCCUGGAGCUCCAGAUGCCAAGCUUGCUCUGAAGUGGAAUGCCACCACAGCUGGAACAGUCAAAAUCAAGCACAGUUGCUCCCUUGGGGUUCCUCCAGAGACACAGUCCUGCAGGAGUGCCUCUGACUGGUUGAGCUCUCGUCCCAGGUAUGCCCAUGGCAUUUACCUCAUGGCACACCAGGGCGAGAGGGGAAAGGGUCUAGUCUCCCAGUUUCUGUAACAGGACAUGGAUGCGGAACGACCGAAACUACACAUGAAGGGAGGCGUGAGCGCCCCGACAGCACUCGGGGCUGAUGAGGAAGAGGGAACAGGUGCUAGGUGGGCAAGAAACGCCCAGUAUUUCUUUUAUUUCAAGUACAGGAAAUCACUUGGAACCAACUAAAUUGAUCAGAGCUCUUCUCUAAAUGAGGAUACCCAGUUAAUAGUAGCGAAAUGACUUUUUCCCAUGCGACCUGCAUUUUGGGAAUCCUAGCAAAGGUGAUGUCUGAGUGUGAACUAAAGAGAUGCUCUCUGCUCAAUGUGCCUGCGCAGACUUGACCAUUUCAGUGAAGCAAAGUGAGCGAGAAUGUGGAGCGACUGAAUCCAACUAGCUAAGGGGAACUGAGUAAAUCCACUUUGUGGGAGGGGUCUUCACCAUUGUUUCCUAUUAAAACAUCUAGCAGGUGAUCAGCUCUUCAGGUACUGAGAGGGAUGGACAAGGAGAAUCACGACACAGAUGGAACCUUUAUAUCUGUAUCUAACUCUUUAGCAUCCAGGUUAAGCACACAUGCUGUUAGCCAAUAGGAUCAGAGAAGUAGCCCAGCACCCUGUACGUAUUGUCAACUGAAGAGGGUUCUGCUGGCUUCUCCAGCAUAGGCCAUGCUAUUAGCAGGCUGUUUACUUUGCUGUGGCCUCUCCUACCACUUCCGUUUCAUUCAUGGCUGAGAAGGAUCUACUGUGAAAGUACUGGACUUGUUCCAAAGAAACAAAGGCAAAGGCUCAUGCUGGACUGCUUUGUAAGUUUUACAGCUGCCCGUGGCCCUGAAGGAUGUGGUCGGGCAAAUACAGGGUGAAGUUCAGCAGGCAAUCAGGGACCAGUGGACGUCCUUUCCCGCGAUGUGAGAGCUCACAACUUUCACGGCAGCCUGGGAAGACUUGGCAGAAAUGUAACCAACAGGAGCUGGAAGAACUGCGCUCAGAGGCACAUAAUGACUUCAGGGACUGCGAUUGCCAAGGCACAGUGUGCUCACUGUCUUCAGGGGGAGGGGCCAGGUAGCGCUCCCUCUCCCGGGCAUGCGUUCUGCUUACCUAAGCCAAGACACCUGUGUACAAGACACAGCCCGCCUCAAGGAGCUGCUCUUUCCCCACUGGUCUUUCUGAGAAUCAACUCAGCUUUCCACUUGGCAGAGCAGCUCACAAGGCUUCAGCAGAAGGGAGAUCCGUGCCUCUCUGUAGGAUUCGACCUGGCUUUGUGGCCCCGUUAGGAUUCCUGGUGGGUGAACCACAGAUCACAUUUCUCCAGGUCUCAUUGCCUGUCAUUUUGGUUGUAACAUAAGGAAAUAGAAAUCAUAGCAUUGCAGCGUGGUGAAAAGGAUCCCUGAUGGCGGCAGGGAGGCCAACUAGAAGGCUGUGCAAGAAAUGGUGCCCUGGAGAUAGAAGUUGGAUUGUGAAGAUCCUUCGAAAGAAGAAGACUCAACAGGGUUUGCUGGUGGGUUGCAUGUAGGGUGUAUGAGGGAGGGGUCGAAGAUGACCCUGAGAUUUUUACACUGAGAAGACAGGAGAACAGAUAAGCCAUCCACAGUCAUAAGGAGGGCUGUUGAGAAGAGCAGGCAUUCUGGGAGAGAGCAAGAGUAUGGUUUCGCGCUACCAAGUCUGAGAUGCUUCAUGACUUCCCAGUGUGAUGCCAAGGAGCCAGUCAGACUAACUCUGGCAGCCACGGGAGAGGGCUAUGGAAGCCGCAGGUCCUCAUGUGGUGUUUGCAAGCUGGACAGGGAGGGGAGCCGAGAAGAGGAUGGAGGAGAGAGAAUCCAGUGCUUGCCAGCAUUCAACGUGCAGGCGGAGGCACAGACGGCACAGGAGCACGUGGUGGAGUCCCAGGGAGGCAGGGAGGGAAGGAAGAGUGGGCCAAGGGAGGAUGGAAGGCCAGGGAGGAACAGUGUUCAAGAAGAAGGGAAGGCAUCACCCCCUCUGUCAACUGCUUUUGAAAAGUUGAGAGAGAUGAGGACUGAGAAAUCUGACAGUCGACUGCCCGGACUCCCCCAGGGUUCACGCUGAAUGCCUGCUGUGCUGAGCACGUGCGUCCCCCCAGUUCAGUCCCCAGUGUGAUUAGAAGGCGGCCCCUUGGGAAGUGACUGGGGCAUGAGGGCUCUGCUCUUGUGAAUGGGAUCAGCGCCCUCAUCAGGUGGACCCCAGAGAGCUGGUGAGCCCCAUCCACCCUGUGCAGACACAGAGGAGGCGUCUUCCGGGAAGCAGAGAGCAGCCCCCAUCAGGAGCCUCACUGCUGCUGCCUUGACCUGGGACUUGCAAGCUUGCAAGUAAAAGAUCAAUUUUUUACAAAGAUUAAUUUAUUUAUUUGGAAGGUACAGUUAGAGAGAGAGAUCGAGAGAUCUUCCAUCCACUGGUUCACUCCCCAGAUGGCCACAACAGCUGAAGCCAGGAGCCAGGAGCUUCUUCUGAGUCUCCUACCAGGGUGCAGGGGCCCAGGCACUUAGGCCAUCCUCCACUGCUUUCCGGAGCUGGUUUAGAAGUGGAGCAGCCGAGACUUGAACAGGUGCCUAUAUGGGACGUCACCCGUUAAGCCACAGCGCCGGCCCCCACACUCUUUGUUGACUGUCCCCCCUCCCCUGUCCCACUUCCUGGCUCCUCUACUGAUGUUUCAUAGGAUCAUCUCCCAAAAAACUACUUGUCUUAAUCUGUUUUAUGUGGAUUUAACAAAAUGCCCAAGACUGUGUCAUUUGUGAAGAAAAGAUAGGAAUCUCCUACUUCUGGUGGCAGGGAAGUUCAAGAUCAAGUGGCUGCACUUGGUAACAACCUCAUAAGAUGGCAGAUGGGAUCACAUGGUGGGAGUGUGGGGGUUGUGCAUGUGUGGGAAAGAACAGGGGAGGAAUAGGAAAGGCAUGUUGUAACAACCUGCUCUCCUGAGAACCAACUCAUUCCUGUGUACAGAGAAAUACAUUCAUUCUCUUAAAGGGUCUCCAACACGGUUGGUAGGGGCUGUUGUCCACUGCUUUCCCAGGUGCAUUAGCAGGAAUAUGGUUAGGAAGUGGAGCAGCUGGGACUUGAACCUUCGUCUGUAUGGGAUGCCUGUGUUGCACACAGCAACUUCACCUGCUGCAUCACAACACCAACCCCUUAUGCCAGCAAGUUUACAACUGAGUAUCAAGCCCAUGAUGUUUCAGUUUUAUUCUCUCGUUUGCUUGUUCCACAGACUUUCCAGAGGCAGGCAAUUUAUCGUGUGAAAGAGACUUGCUUUCUUUAUGAGUUUAUAGGGUUGCUGAUUCGUAUUUGUGAAGGCAACAUCGUCACUCUCCAGACAUCUUUUGGAACUGUGUGUAGCCUUCCCCUCCAUUGGUGGCACGUGGGAUCCAGUGGAGGGAGACACAGCUACCUUACCCAAUAGGUGCUCAUCUUACAGGCCCAGGAAACAUGUGUUGAAAAGGACAGCUGUGCACACAGGGUCACCUGCUCAUCUCACUGUCAUUACGCACAUAGACCUGCAUUAUACUUGCAAAUACAUAUGUGUUUAGGUAUUUGUCUCCUACUCCACUCCCCUGGACUCACCUCCUUGAGAACACAAUCAAAUCGUGUUUAUGCAGAUAGCUCUAGGCCUGCACGGGUGCUCAGUCACUGAAUGAGUUUACAGAGCAUCUACUGUGCCGAAUGAAUGCCGUGUUAAGCACGGAGGGCCCGAGGGAGAGGAUAGAAUCUACAGAUACAGAGAGAGGCAGAGCAGAGAAAGAGAUCUUCCAUUUGCUGGUUCAUUCCUCAAAUGCUGGAAACAGCCAGAUGUCUCCAUGGCCAGGCUCUACCAGCCUGAGGCCAGGAACCAGGAACUCAAUUGGAAUCUCCCUCCUGGGCGGCAGGGACCCACCUACUUGGACCAUCACCUGCUGCCUUGCAGGAUGAGCAUUCGCAGGAAGCUGAUGUUAUGAACAUUUUUCUAUGGAUUUUUGUGUGAAAAUAUAUUUUCAAUUCUCUUGCAUAUAUAUUGAGGAGUAGGAAUUGUUGGUCAUAUGGUAACUCUGUAUUUAACAUUUUGAGGAACUACAAAAAUGUUUUCCAGUUUAAGUUCCUAUCAGUGAUGUGUGGAGGUUGUAACUUCUCUACAUCCUAACAGUUUUCUGCCUAUUUUAAAAUUUUUAAAACUGUAUUUGAAAGGGAAAAAGAUAGAGAAAUAUUCUUUUUGCUUUUUUUAAAAAAAAUUUUUAUUUAUUUGAAAAGCAGAGAGAGAAAGAGAGAAAGAGAGAGAGAGAGAAUCUUUUAGCCACUGGUUCAUUCUCCAAAUGGCCAUAACAGCCAGAGCUGGGCCAGGCCAAAGCCAGAAGCCAGGAACUUCAUAUAUGUCUCCCACAUGGAUGCAAGAGCCCAAGCACUUGGGCCAUCUUCCAGUGCUUUCCCAGGCACAUUAGCAGUAAGCUGUAUUGGAAGUAGAGCAGCUGGGACUCUAACUGGCACCCAUAUGGGCUGCCAGCACUGCAGCCGGCGGCUUAACCCAUGACGCCACAAUGCCAGCCCCAAAGACAGAAACAUUACAUUGCUGGUUCAUUCUCCCCAGACGCCUACAAUAGUGCACUGGGCCAGGCCAAAGACAAGAGUCCAGAACCUGAUAUGGGUCUUCUCCAUCUGGAAGGCACUGACCCAAGCCAUCAUUGCUGCUUCUCAGGGUGCGUAUAAGCAAGAAGACAGAAGUACAACUGGGCUCAGGACUGAAACCAGGCACUAGACUGCAAAAUAUGCCUGCAUCUCUGUGUUUCCUUUCUUCCUUUCCUCCAUUUCCUCCUUCCUUCCUUCCUCCCUCUUUCUUUUUUUUUCUCUUUCUUUCUUUUCCUUUCCUUCCUUCCUUCCAUUUUAUUAUUACAGCCAUCCUCGUGGAUAUGAAGUGAUAUUUCGUUGUGGCUUGAUUUGCAUUUCUCUGAUGCCUAGUGAUGUCAGACAUCUUUCCAUGUAUUUACUGGUCAUUUACUGGUCUUUGAAGAAACAUCUAUUCAAAUCUUGUGCCCAUUUGUAAUUUUUUCUUAUGGAGUUGUGAGAGUUCUUUCUAUAGUCUAGAAAUAGAGCCCCAGAUUAUUUCAUCCCACUCUGUGGAUUGUCUUUUCACUUCCUGGACAGUGCUCUUUGAGUCACACACAUUGGGAGCCAGACCCAGGGUGCACGCCAAGCACUCCGAUGUGUGAUGCGGAUGUACCAGGAGGGUCUCACCCACUAUGCCUAAUGCUCACCCCAACUCCCAUGCUUUCUUCUAAUAGUUUUAUAGUUUUCAUUCAUAUAUUCACACUCUGAUCUAUUUUGAGUUAAUUGUGUAAUGUUUUGAAACAAGGGAUGUGGAUAUCCAGUUGCCCCCACCUCAUGUGAUAAGGAAUUUUCACUCCCCCACUGAGUGGUUUCAGCACUUUCGUCAACCAUCAGUUGACCUUAAGUGUAUGGGUUUACUUCUUUAUUUUGUUUCUCUGCACAUUUACCCUUAUCUAUUACAGUUCUUGGUUUCAUUACAGUAGCUUUGUGUAUGUUUUUAAACCAGAAAAUUUGAGUUCCCCCAUCUUUGUUCUUUUAGAAAUUAUUUUGGCUGU